GCUGAAAUAAUAUGGAAUUUAGUUCUGCUGAGCUUACUAAAAAUGAAAUCACACUACAUGAGUAUAGUAGGCAGCCUCUAAAAUGGUCAUCAAUAUUCCUUGCCCUCCUGGCAAAUUCACAUACUUUCAUAAUGCCCUUCUUUUGAGGAUGGACUGGAUCUAGUGCUGGUUUCUGACAAAUAGAAUAUGGCAGGGGUGACGGAAUAUCACCCUUGGGUUAUAAAAUGACUAUGGCUUCCUUUCUUGGGUGACCUCAAGCCUGUUCUCUAUGGAUCACCCACUUGCCCUUGGAAGAUGCCACUGGCCAUGCCAGGAGGCCACCAUGUGGAGAGGCCCCUGUGACCAGGGAUCACAGCCUCCACCCUACAUGAGGGAGCUGGGAGACAGAAGCCCGAAGGUGGAGGCUUGAGCACAAGCCAGCAGGAGAAGGUCUGCAGAGCUGACAGUAAUCUCGAUUUGAUAAUGAAGCAACAAGACGCUCGAGAGAGUAGCUGCCUAACUAGUCUCACAGCAAAAGACAGGUCCCCUCCAAAGCUACCCCUCUUCCUUCUGCA